CCCUGGUUGAUCCUGCCAGUAGUUAUAUGCUUGUCUCAAAGACUAAGCCAUGCAUGUCUCAGUGCAAGCCGUAUUAAGGCGAUACCGCGAAUGGCUCAAUAUAUCAGUUUUGGUUCCUUAGAUCUUACUCAGUUACUUGGAUAACUGUGGCAAUUCUAGAGCUAAUACAUGCAAUCAGAACUCUGACCAGUGAUGGAAUGAGUGCUUUUAUUAGAUCAAAACCAAUCGACGGCGGGCGUUCGCGUCCAAAGUCGUUCAUUUUGAUGAAUCUGGAUAACUUUUGCCGAUCGCACGGUCCCGUACCGGCGACGCAUCUUUCAAAUGUCUGCCUUAUCAACUUUCGAUGGUAGUUUCUGCGACUACCAUGGUUGUCACGGGUAACGGGGAAUCAGGGUUCGAUUCCGGAGAGGGAGCCUGAGAAACGGCUACCACAUCCAAGGAAGGCAGCAGGCGCGCAAAUUACCCACUCCCGGCACGGGGAGGUAGUGACGAAAAAUAACGAUACGGGACUCUUACGAGGCCUCGUAAUCGGAAUGAGUACACUUUAAAUAUUUUAACGAGGAACAAUUGGAGGGCAAGUCUGGUGCCAGCAGCCGCGGUAAUUCCAGCUCCAAUAGCGUAUACUAAAAUUGUUGCGGUUAAAAAGCUCGUAGUUGCAUUUGUGCGCCGCGCUGUCGGUGCACCGCUUCUGCGGUGAUACUGACACGUUUGCGGAGCAUAUCGUCGGUGAGCCUUCGGUAAAACGGAGGUUCAAUAUCAAAAAUCCUAUCGCGGUGCUCUUUAUUGAGUGUCGAGGUGGGCCGACAAUUUUACUUUGAACAAAUUAGAGUGCUUAAAGCGGGCUCAAAAUGCUGCUUGAAUAUUUCGUGCAUGGAAUAAUAGAAUAUGAUCUCGGUUCUAUUUUGUUGGUUUUCAGAACUCCGAGGUAAUGAUUAAUAGGGAUAACUGGGGGCAUUCGUAUUGCGACGUUAGAGGUGAAAUUCUUGGAUCGUCGCAAGACGAACAUCAGCGAAAGCAUUUGCCAAAGGUGUUUUCAUCAAUCAAGAACGAAAGUUAGAGGUUCGAAGGCGAUUAGAUACCGCCCUAGUUCUAACCGUAAAUAUGUCAUCUAAUGAUCCUUCCGCAGGUUCCCCUACGGAAACCUUGUUACGACUUUUACUUCCUCUAAAUGAUCAAGUUUGGUCAACUUCCCAACAACGCCGACGGCCGUGAAGCCACCGCGUGUCGGUCCGAAGACCUCACUAAAUCAUUCAAUCGGUAGUAGCGACGGGCGGUGUGUACAAAGGGCAGGGACGUAAUCAACGCGAGCUUAUGACUCGCGCUUACUAGGAAUUCCUCGUUUAUGGGGGAUAAUUGCAAACCCCAAUCCCCAGCACGAAGGAGUUUCAGCGGGUUGCCCGGGCCUCUAGGCCAGGGAGAACAUGCUGAUUCCUUCAGUGUAGCGCGCGUGCGGCCCAGGACAUCUAAGGGCAUCACAGACCUGUUAUUGCUCAAUCUCGUGCGCCUCGAAGCCGCCGGUCCCUCUAAGAAGAAUUUUAA
rnacentral:rRNA from 1 species